UGUUUUCGCUCCAAAUCUCACACUCCAGCAAAUCGCUCCAAAUCCCCAAUUCGACUCCAGCAAAUCGGUCUUCCCUUCACCAAAUCACCACUCCAGCAAAUCAACAAAUCAAUUAAGUGUGAAAUUGCACCAAAUCUCAAACCCUCGUCGCCGCCCCAGCCUUGUACGACCGCCGCUCCAGCCCCCUCCGGCCGUCGCCGCUCUCCCUGCCCCAUCUCCUUCGAUUGACAACCCGCCGCCCUCACCUAGCCUUUCGUCGCCGCCCCAGCCUUCUACGGCCGCCGCUCCAGCCCCCUCCGGCCACCGCCGCUCUCCCCGCCCCAUCUCCUUCAAUCGACAGCCCGCCGCCCUCACCUAGCCUUUCAUCGCCGCCCCAGCCUUCUACGGCCGCCGCUCCAGCCCCCUCCGGCCGCCGCCGCUCUCCCCGCCCCGUCUCCUUCGAUCGAUAGCCCACCGCCCUCACCUAGCCUUUCCCGGACUACUCCGCAGCAGCAGCAGCAGUUUCCAACGCCCAAGUUCCCAACUAAAGGUAAUGCUGAAGAAUACUUGAAUAUUUUGUGAAUUUGGGGGUUUAGGGUUCUUCUUCCCUACAUGCAGCCCUAAGGUUUAGGGUUCAAUGUUUCUUAGUGUGUGAAUUUGUUAAUUUCUGUUAAUUUCGAUGAGAAUGAUGCCUAUCAAAGAGAUUUGAUGAUCCCUUAUGAUUGUGAAGGGAUGAUUCGAGAUGUUGUUCUGGAAAUUCUAGUUCUGCAUCUUGCUUUAAUUAUUUAAGUAAUAGGAUUGCAGUCUCAUUAUGCUGCUAAAUGCUGAUUAUUUCUGUACAAUAUGGUCAUCUUUUAGGAAUAAGAAUACUGUAGGAUGUUCUGAUUUUCUAGACCUGAUGUUGCAUCUAUAUUGUUCUUAUGAUAGAGCUUCAACACUUAAGGAACAGUCUCCCAGAUUCAGUUUCUGUUCAGCGAAUUGAGGAGAGAUUAAACUCUCUAGGGAACUUCAUUUCUUGCAAUGAUCACGUUGCUCUUUCACAUCCUGACCUUGCCACUGCUACAUUAGUUCGAGAACCAUAAGGAAAUUCAUUAAUUGAAAGAGAAAAUAAGAAUCUGUAACAGCACAAGAUAGGUGCUGAACUUGCUGCAUAGGAAGGAAAGAGUGCAGCAGCAUUGGCAGCUUGUACGGCGUUCGUUGAAGAUCUAACUGAGCUGCGUUUUCCAGCUCCUAGGAUUCUUGCAUUUAAGGUAACAGGGGAUUUGUAACCUCUUCAGCUAUGAAUUGCUUAUGAGUUGGGUUGUCUGUUUUGAGUUAAUGUUUUCAUUUGUGUUUGUGGUGUAUAUUUUUGGUAUGAGAUGUAAAGAUUAAGUGUAUGAAUCGUUGUUUGUUCUAGUAUAUAUAUACUUUGAGAGAGAGAGAGAUUAGAUAUUGUUA